rnacentral:rRNA from 1 species
UGAGCAACCUGCCCUUCUCUUCGGAAUAAGCAUUGGAAACGACGUCUAAUGCCGAAUACGACCUCCUUUCGCAUGAUCGGAGGUGGAAAGCUCCGGCGGAGAAGGAUGAGCUCGCGGCCUAUCAGCUAGUUGGUGUGGGUAAUGGCCCACAAGGCGACGACGGGUAGCCGGCCUGGAGGAGGGUGACCGGCCACACUGGGACUGAGACACGGCCCAGACCUCCGUACGGGGAGGNACGCG